CCACACUCACGGCCCAUGCCUCAAAUGCUGCCGGCGACAUGGCUUGAGUGGCCGUGCCAGGCCCUGUUUAGGAAUCCUUUGAAGCCCAAGAAGCAAAAAUCCUUCAAGUUCCUCCACAAGAGAAAGGAGGAGGAGAAGGUGGAGAGAAACAUUGACAAGCGGAAGGAGAAGGAGGAGCGGAGGAAGGAGGAGGAGGAGAAAAAGAGGUUUAAGAAGGACAAGAAGAAGAAGGAGGAAGAGGAAAUGCCAGUGUUUGGAGUGCCGCUGUGCCUGGCCGUCCAGCGCUGCCCGGCACACGAUGGCAUCCAGCUGCCCACCAUUGUCAGGGAGUGCAUUGACCAGAUAGAGGGAGUUGCCGGAGCCAGUGUUGACGUCGGACAUGAUGCCACACUUUGAGGACAUAGCGAUGAUUCCUAACCCCGGGGAGCGCGCCGAGGCCAUGCGCCAGCUGAUCAACCGCCUGCCAACCGCCAACCGCCUGCUGCUCCAAUACAUGUUCAAGCAUAUGGGACACAUCAUUGCAAGGGUGCCUGAGGACGCCUUCCCAUGGACAGCAGCAGGCGACAUCCUCCUGAGGGGCUGCUGUGUGGCGUCCAUCCUUCUUUGUAUAAAGACAAAUACACUUACCUCAACACAA